UCAACAGCUCUGGAUGUCUUCUCCACUCCUUAUUUACUGUGGCACUUUUCAGGAGCAAUGGAUGCAUCUGAAAUGCCAGCUGAGCAACACUGUAGAAGAUUCUCACAGUCAUGCUUGCCUCUGAGUGGGAAUGAUGAAGACCUUUCUAAUAGAAUUUCAAUUAUGUUUUAAUUAACCUGGCUGGAGCGUACAAGUAGAAUUCAAAUGAAAUCUAGCA
rnacentral:lncRNA from 10 species